rnacentral:rRNA from 2 species
UGCAAGUCGUACGCACUGGCCCAACUGAUUGAUGGUGCUUGCACCUGAUUGACGAUGGAUCACCAGUGAGUGGCGGACGGGUGAGUAACACGUAGGUAACCUGCCCCGGAGCGGGGGAUAACAUUUGGAAACAGAUGCUAAUACCGCAUAACAACAAAAGCCACAUGGCUUUUGUUUGAAAGAUGGCUUUGGCUAUCACUCUGGGAUGGACCUGCGGUGCAUUAGCUAGUUGGUAAGGUAACGGCUUACCAAGGCGAUGAUGCAUAGCCGAGUUGAGAGACUGAUCGGCCACAAUGGAACUGAGACACGGUCCAUACUCCUACGGGAGGCAGCAGUAGGGAAUCUUCCACAAUGGGCGCAAGCCUGAUGGAGCAACACCGCGUGAGUGAAGAAGGGUUUCGGCUCGUAAAGCUCUGUUGUUGGAGAAGAACGUGCGUGAGAGUAACUGUUCACGCAGUGACGGUAUCCAACCAGAAAGUCACGGCUAACUACGUGCCAGCAGCCGCGGUAAUACGUAGGUGGCAAGCGUUAUCCGGAUUUAUUGGGCGUAAAGCGAGCGCAGGCGGUUGCUUAGGUCUGAUGUGAAAGCCUUCGGCUUAACCGAAGAAGUGCAUCGGAAACCGGGCGACUUGAGUGCAGAAGAGGACAGUGGAACUCCAUGUGUAGCGGUGGAAUGCGUAGAUAUAUGGGAAGA